AACGAACGCUGGCGGCAGGCCUAACACAUGCAAGUCGAACGCCGUAGCAAUACGGAGUGGCAGACGGGUGAGUAACACGUGGGAACAUACCCUUCGGUUCGGAAUAACUCAGGGAAACUUGAGCUAAUACCGGAUACGUCCGCGAGGAGAAAGAUUCAUCGCCGGAGGAUUGGCCCGCGUCUGAUUAGCUUGUUGGUGAGGUAACGGCUCACCAAGGCGACGAUCAGUAGCUGGUCUGAGAGGAUGAUCAGCCACAUUGGGACUGAGACACGGCCCAAACUCCUACGGGAGGCAGCAGUGGGGAAUAUUGGACAAUGGGCGCAAGCCUGAUCCAGCCAUGCCGCGUGAGUGAUGAAGGCCCUAGGGUUGUAAAGCUCUUUUACCCGGGAAGAUAAUGACUGUACCGGGAGAAUAAGCCCCGGCUAACUUCGUGCCAGCAGCCGCCGC
rnacentral:rRNA from 1 species